rnacentral:misc_RNA from 1 species
GACUACACUGACUUUUUACACCUUUAACUUGGCUGGUUGCUCAGGAUUACCAAAUACACAAGCUGAUACCUCCAUCACAUGUGGCUUACAAAUAGAAAACUUAGGACCCAGCCAUAUCAGGAAGAUGCAUUUCAUGGCCAGAUCAAUUAGAUUGUGGUUCAACCACAUGAGACUAUUUAAAUUGGGAGAACUUUCCUUUCUACUAAAUAUAGCCAGAAAACA